rnacentral:lncRNA from 1 species
UCAGAAGACUGCAUACGAGAUGAAACUCCAUGAGUCCAUUAAGCAUCUUACUUGUUACAUUUAGCAAAACUCUAUCUCAUAAUUUUCUCUCCACUCACAAUAGUCAGAUGUUUAACCUACAAUAUCUGUUAAAUAACCUCUGUGUGCAGCCUCUCUCAUUAAGAGAAAAUAAUACAAUCUUUAAGAAACUCGUUUUCUAAUUGGAAAAGUAUGAUAAAUAAUCCUCAAAAUACUCAAAA